rnacentral:rRNA from 1 species
CGUGCAGGCGGUCUGAUAAGUUCGGCGUGAAAUAUUCCGGCUUAACCGGGAUAGGUCGUCGGAGACUGUCGGACUAGAGGGUGAUAGAGGCGUGUGGAAUUCCGGGUGUAGUGGUGAAAUGCGUAGAGAUCCGGAGGAACACCAGUGGCGAAGGCGACACGCUGGGUCACACCUGACGCUAAAGCGCGACAGCAUGGGGAGCGAACGGGAUUAGAAACCCCGGUAGUCCAUGCCGUAAACGAUGCCAACUCGGUGUCUGAUCCGGGGAACCGGAUUGGGUACCCAAGCAAACGCGGUAAGUUGGCCGCCUGGGGAGUACGGUCGCAAGAUUAAA